ensembl:lncRNA
AUCUAAAUGAAAAGACAGAGGACUCAAAGGACACGGCAGAAAAUGAGACAUGAAGUUUACAGAGAACAAGAAAGACGUCAAUGAAGAAAGUUUGGAGAAGUUUCGGGUGGAAUUUGAAUCUGGCAUGAACGGCUGGAAUAGUUCCUGUAUCAAAUGAAGGCCCGCCUUCUGAUAUACGAAAUUCUGACUUUGCUACGACAAUCUGGUGCUUCUGAAUCAGCUACUGUGCUGCUAAACCGCACCAGUCUCGCCCAACCAUGGGACCAGCUUAGUGUGUGCCAGUUUAGUUGGUGUGUAUGCCAAACGCAUGGUGGAUGUGUCUGCUGCGGGGACAUUGUAGAGCAGUUCCUGACGGCUCGCUGGCUCCUGUGUGCUGCCUGGGUUUCAGAUCCCUGGAGGACGUGCAAUCAUCAGUGGUUAGAAAGCUUCCUGUGCAACUAAGCAUCUGCUGAAGCCGGCACAGACCUGCCGGGAAAAGAUGGUGCAGACUAAUUUUAGGGGGAUGUUUUUGACGAGUCGGGUCUGUGUGAGAGGAAGUGAGUAAUUACGAGUCCCACGCAUCAUUAGCACCCCCAGUCUGUCUGACAAGGGCAAGUUUCACACUUAUUUUGGAACGCCUGAAUUUGUGUGUAUGUGUGUGUGCGCACAAAAAAAAUCAAGUCCAUGUGAUGUGGUUAGUCUAUAUAUUUUAUGCAAAAUGCUCUUUCAAAGCUUAAAGCCUCAAAUUUUUCCCAUGAUUUACUCACUCUUUUGUUUGAAACCUGUGUGACCUUCUUUUCUAUACAGCUGAAGUCUACAAUGAUCAUAACUGACUGGCAAGAUUUUCAGUGCAAGACUUAUCAAGAAUGUAUCAAGACUUAGUUCACUCAAAAAUGAAAAUUCUGUCAUCCCUAACUCAUUCCCAUUGUUACAAACUUGUGUGCCUUUCUUUCUUCAGUGGAAUGCAAAAGAUGAUAUUUUGAAAGUCAUUCCAAAAUAACAUUGGA